rnacentral:rRNA from 1 species
UACGUAGGGUCCGAGCGUUGUCCGGAAUUAUUGGGCGUAAAGAGCGUGUAGGCGGCCAGGUAGGUCGGUUGUGAAAACUGGAGGCUCAACCUUCAGACGUCGACCGAAACCAUCUGGCUAGAGUCCGGGAGAGGAGAGUGGAAUUCCUGGUGUAGCGGUGAAAUGCGCAGAUAUCAGGAAGAACACCCGUGGCUAAGGCGGCUCUCUAGUACGGUACUGACGCUGAGACGCGAAAGCGUGGGGAGCGAACAGG